rnacentral:rRNA from 1 species
GCCCAGAUCGUUUACCGUGAAAAAAUUAGAGUGUUCAAAGCAGGCAGAUCCAAUUUUCUGCCACCGAAUACAUUAGCAUGGGAUAAUGGAAUAGGACCCUGUCCUCCUAUUUUCAGUUGGUUUUGGCAGCGCGAGGACUAGGGUAAUGAUUAAUAGGGAUAGUUGGGGGCAUUAAUAUUUAAUUGUCAGAGGUGAAAUUCUUGGAUUUAUGAAAGAUUAACUUCUGCGAAAGCAUCUGCCAAGGAUGUUUUCAUUAAUCAAGAACGAAAGUUAGGGGAUCGAAGACGAUCAGAUACCGUCGUAGUCUUAACCAUAAACGAUGCCGACCAGCGAUUAGGAGACGUUGAAUACAAAACACCACCAUCGGCGCGGUCGUCCUUGGCGUCGGUCCUUCACGGGGCCGGCGCGAGGGCGGCUAGCCCUGAU